rnacentral:rRNA from 1 species
UACGUAGGGCCCAAGCGUUAUCCGGAAUCACUGGGCGUAAAGCGUGCGUAGGUGGAUUGUUAAGUGCGAUGCGAAAUCCUGUGGCUCAACCAUAUGGACUGUAUCGCAUACUGGCUAUCUAGAGGACAUGAGAGGCAAGUGGAAUUACUGGUGUAGCAGUGAAAUGCGUAGAGAUCAGUAGGGACACCAAUGGCGAAGGCAGCUUGCUGGCAUGUAUCUGACGCUAAGGCACGAAAGCGUGGGGAGCGAACAGG